AAGUUUGAUGGCGACCGGCGCACGGGUGAGUAACACGUAUCCAACCUGCCGAUGACUCGGGGAUAGCCUUUCGAAAGAAAGAUUAAUACCCGAUGGCAUAGUUCUUCCGCAUGGUAGAACUAUUAAAGGAUUUCGGUCAUCGAUAGGGAUGCGUUCCAUUAGGUUGUUGGCGGGGUAACGGCCCACCAAGCCUUCGAUGGAUAGGGGUUCUGAGAGGAAGGUCCCCCACAUUGGAACUGAGACACGGUCCAAACUCCUACGGGAGGCAGCAUG
rnacentral:rRNA from 1 species